UGUAAGGAGUGAUCCCGGUUCCUCACAGAUAAACUGUGCGACUGGAACUAAUGUCAAUGUAGGGAGCGUCCUCGAGGGAUAUGAAGGUGAAGUAGAGCUUCUCACUAAUAUCGGACCUAAUGAUCGUCUGGUGCUGGAGUCAUAUCUGUUUCCUGUUGGUUUGGAGUUUGUGGAGCUGAUUUAUUCUGAAGGAGAUUCAUCUGCUUCUGUACGAACCAGAAAACCACUGGACGCUGAUGAACUAAAGCAGUAUGGAGAGAAAUUAUAUUAUUCAGUCACCUGCUUGAACACAGGGCUAAAAAACCUCCGGACGGUAGACAUUCUGGACAUCAAUGACAACCCUCCGAUCUUCCAGAGCCAAUCAUACAG